rnacentral:lncRNA from 1 species
AUAAAUUUAAACGAAGAAUAUAUAAUAUUUAAUCAAAGGACAGUAAUCGUACAAGAAAUUUUAAUAAACAUGAUGACAACAUCACUAUUUAGUAUAUGUGAAAAAGGUAAAUAUAGAUCUAUGGAUGGAAAGGGAUAAGAAUCUUUUUGAAUCUUAGAUAGAAGUUGAUUAACGGUAAAAUUUCUUUCGUGGACAUGAGGUAAAAUAAAUCUAGAAGUGAACGCCUUUCGAUUUAAAUUUGAAAAGAAAACAUCCCAAUAAGUUCCGGGAUAACUUCUUUGCCCCAACCACUAAAAUCCAAAUGAUCUCUUCUUAUUGAUAUAUUGUUAUAAAUUGGUAGACUUAACAAGAAAAAUAAAGGAAAAUAUUGAAAUACAUAUUUAAACUUAUAUAUUGUGUCUUUUUUUGUUAUCAUGGCCUUUCUUAUUAUAUGUGUGUAAGUUUCCUUUAUAGUAUAAUUAUAAGUAUAUACAUUUUUUUUCUUGUUUAUUGUUUCCGUUAAGCUUCUAUGGCAUACUGUGCAUAUUUCCUCUGUUUUUCAUAUUUCUCAUUUUUCUUUUUAGUUAGGGGUGUAAUAUAUAAAUAUAUAUAUUUUGAUAACUAUGCGACUACCAGUUUUGUUAGGUCUGUAGCACUCAUAAUUUCAACAAAAACACACAAAACUCUAUUUCUAACGAUAGAUAGAGUGCACCUUUAAAUUUCUUAAACUGAUUCCCAAUAAAUAUCAGAAAUAAAAAAGCUAUGUUACGACGUAUCUAUCCAAGAUACUCUCCGACACGAAAAAAAUGAAACUCAUAGUAACUCAAACCAAUUGGACCCAUAGCAGGG